GGCCGAAUGGCAGUCUUUCGAAUCGAAUUGCGGCCCAAAAAAUCGCAUCCAUCCCGCAGCCCGCUUGAUUCUGGCGCGGGACUUAAAAUCCCCCGCUCGUAAGGGCGUGCCGGUUCGAUUCCGGCUUCGGGCACCA
rnacentral:tRNA from 1 species